AUUUGAAUGAUUUAAAUAUGAAUAUGUUCAAAUUUGAUUCAUCUCCGGCCGCGAGCUCCACCCCGUCCAGCCUCAUCUCCCCAGAUCUUCUUGAUUUUGAUCCGGGAGCAUACGGGUGCGGAUCAAAGCGUUGGUGGACAGGUUCGUGAAGGAGCUGCAGGAGGCGCUAGACGCGGACAUCCAGAAUCGCAUCAUGAAGGAGCGGGAGAUGCUAGCUACAUCAGGAGCGCAAACACGAGGUCGCCGAGAGGGAGGCUGUUUGGAAGGCCGAGGUCUCCCACCGCGAGUAAGGGAUCAGUUGCUGAAUUCUGGUGCAUUCCUGGGUAUUCUUGGGAGAGGAACACUUGGCGGCGUCUAGUACGUUGGUGAGCUUGACGACAACUGUUAAUGGGGCAAUGAGGUGAAGCUCUAUGAGCACCAAGUAGACAAUCUCUUUGCUAUGUUUUGGCACAAAAAGCCGGACAUCAACUACUACGUCUGCACAAUCAACAAGACGUUUGCCAAACCAGGCCAGCGCAUGUAUUUCCAGGUUAACUAUACUGAAGAGAACCUGCUCGACUACAUUGAUCCAAAGAAUGAUACACUCAUGGUCAGACUUGCAGAUGGCCAUUUGCUCGCCAAGUGUUGCAUCAUGGUAGCAAGUGACAAGAGGGCCACUAUAACCACCAACUGGUCUGAGUUUCGUCGUCGCGCCAAUAUUCGUGAAGGAGACAUCUGUGCAUUUCGUUUCAGGAUCACUUCAAAGCGCCGCCUGGUUCUCACCGUGCACCGCCUCUAGAUGCACAAUUGAAGACGCUGCAGCCCCUGUGUCAAUAUAAUCUAAUAUAAUGCACUACUAAGUACUCCUAAUUAUGCUAUAUCAUGUCAUGACCUAUGGUCCUCUUUUGUGCACUCUUAUAUCAUGGUUUUCAAGACCUAAUACUUAUGUUAAAAGCAAUGUUAUUAGUCAGUCGUUUCAUGUCCAGAUCCAUAAUGGGCUUUCUCUUUACAGUGUA